rnacentral:lncRNA from 1 species
AGUCGGCCCCUAGGGUGGAGCUGGGAAGAGCGAGUCCUGUGGAGGAUGCGUUUCUAUUUUUAACCCAAUUGUCCGCCCUCAGCCUCCCUCCUUCGGAUUUUCUCAUUCAAACCCGUUUUUCGCCAUCCUAGUUCUCACGCUUUGUCUCCAGCCCUGGGCAGACAUUCCCUCCCCCAAGAAUCGUAAGGAUUCACCCCCAGAAAAGGAAAAGAAUUGCCUUAUGGCUUCGAGGUCUUUUCUGUUUAUGAAACCUCCUCACUCCCCACACCCAUUUUGAGCUCCGAAGUCCAGCCCGAGCGUGGCCCUGACGCAGCUGGCGGCGUGCGUUCGCUCGCCCAAGGUCACGGGUGGUUGUGCGGAGUGAGGAAACGCGCGGCCGCCCAGGGCUGCCAAUGCCCCGGCGGCGCUGUUC